GUAAAUAUAGUUUAACAAAAACAUUAGAUUGUGAGUCUAAUAAUAGAAUCGCAAAAUUCUUAUUUACC